rnacentral:lncRNA from 1 species
AUUACGCCCUCAACUUUGAGAGCUUCUUCUGAGCUUAGGAGUUGAUUUCAGGGAAAAGCAGUGGCACUAUCGUGUUUCUCGCGAACUUUUACAUAAGAAUUAAUAGUCAAAUCGCUAAGUCCUCACGCAUGAAACAUCUCUAUUGUCCAUAAGAACUGUUGAAUUCCCGAUAGUAAAAGCUUCCACCUAUCGCCAAGAGGCUAGUGGAAGGUCUCUCGUCUCUGGACAUAAUCUCCCAAACUAGGACUAACCGAUAAUUGUAUCUAACAUUAAUUUAAGGUUAGUCCGGAAAUGGACAACGUGAAAGAUGGGAACCUGGGCGCCAUGAUCGACGCCCACCCAUCAGGAGCUCAUGCUCCGGAAACACCCCUGAGCAAGGAUGACUAUGGGGAGCUGCGGAAAACCGGAAAACCCGUGGUCGACAAGAGCUUCUUCAUCAAACUUGUCCUCCACGAACGGGUUCCUGUUGUGCUCAUCACCCGACCUCGCCGCUUCGGGAAAUCCGUCAACCUCUCCAUGCUCAGGCACUUCCUAGACUUCACUGAGAACUCCACCGCUCUUUUCCCGCCGGGAAGCGAGAUCACCCGCAACAAGAUCUUCUGCAUUAAUCUCCAAAACAGAUGGCCGGUGGUGCAUGUGGAUCUCACGGAUCGAGAAUCAACGACUUUCGUGCAGGCUUUGAACCGCGUCAGAUCCACCAUGAGCAGACUCUACAAAGAUUUCACUUUUCUUCUAAAGGUCCUCGACCCGACGGAGGCUCAGCAUUUCAACACAAUUCUUGCCGGUAACGGCACAGAGUCUGAAACGGCGUUCGCGAUCGUGGAUUUGAUGGAGAACCUGAAGGACCAUUGCAAGUCCAAGGUCAUGCUCCUGAUAGACGGCUACGACAGCCCCCUCGUGCAGGCGUUCCAGUAUAGAUACUACGACCAGAUGGCCUACUUCUUGAAGAACGCGUUGAACACGGCCUUGAGGGCCGAGGCGGUCAUGCAGAAAGCGGUCAUCAUGGGUAUGCUGCCCAUCGCAAAGGACGUCAUCGUGGAGGGCCUUCAGCAGAAGUAUGUGACGUACCCCUUCUCUAGCUACGACUCCUAUUUCGGGUACUUCGGGUUCCUGGAGAAUGAAGUUGAGGAUCUGAUCAGCAGUUAUAAGUACUCGCCAAAGCUUUUCUCCGAGAUGAGCGAAAGAUAUCGAGGUUACUUCGGCGGUGAGGAAAUUCUAUACAACCCGUAUUCCGUCAUCCAUACCCUGGAGAAGAGGGGCUUGGUUAAUGAUUACUGGAUUGCGACCGGGGUGACCGCCAAAGCACUGAGUGACGUCCUCGAGACCCGCGGGGUCAUACCGAUGAUCCAAACCCAACUUCUCUUGGAAGGCAUUCCUCUGCACUUCGUCUUCGAUUUCGAAUUGAGCAUGGCUGGAGCCAGGUACAGCCUCGACUCCUUUUGGACGCUGGUGGUCCACCACGGGUUCCUCGUUCUCGACCACGCAGAAAGCUCCGUCAAGGAAGGGAAGAUUAGUUACGGGUUGAAGGUACCCAACGAGGAGGUGAGAAGGGCUCUGCGGUCGGCCGUGGCGGGGUAUUUCCAGAGGAGGCCUCUACCAAAAUACGAAGUCUUCGUCGAGAGUGUGAAGAACAGGAGUUAUGCUCGGAUCCAGGAAUGCUUGCAGUCGUAUAUGAACGUCUCGGGGAGGUUUUUCAGGUUCGAUAAGCUGCAGGGAUUCGAGGAAUUCUUCAUGAAGUUGCUUGCCGGUUUAAGUAAAGACUACAAGUCCAUCUCGGCGGAGUUGGAUGGUGACACUCUCACGUUUAAACUGGGCGAGAGUGAGACUCUGGACGCGUUGGUUUUCUCUGUUAAUUAUAAAGUAAGGACGAGCUGAAGGAGAGUUUGACGAAGAAAUAUUGAUCAAAGUCUGUCAUUUUGUGAGGCGGAAGAAAGUCCCUGAGAAGAUGGAGCUCUACUCGUGCCAUGGAUCGUACUUCAUGACGCUGGACGUGCAGGAAACGGAUGAAAAUGCUACGUGAGCGUGAACAAGAUUAUCGGUAACUUGAGACGAACAAAUAUAAUGUAACUUCAUAAUAAGCGUAGCCAAAAAGCUUUGUGGGGGCUGGACAGAGGCAAGAGACCCUCCAUUGGCCUCUUGGCGGCCGAUGGUAACUUUUACUUUCGGGGAUUCAACUAUUCUAGAGUCUCUUUAUACCCAGAGUUAAGACAUCUCGGUCAUCAGCUGGCCUGAGCUGGCCUGAGCUGGCCUGAGCUGGCCAUGGUGUCACAAAAGUGUGCACCCAAACGAACGAUAUUGAGGGAUAAGGAUAAGGGAUCCUGCGAUGUCUGUCAUCCAAAAACAACAACAUCAACACAACUGAUCAAUUAAAAUAAAUGAGAUUGGUUUGUGAAUAAUUUAUUAAUCUAUUUUCAUUUUGGACCGAUGGAAAUAACAAUUUACUCUUGAUAAACCACGAUUAGGUAAUAUUUUCAUUAUUUAUGUUCACAUUCGAGCCAUCGCCAUCUUGGUGCACUCGUUUGUGACUCCAUGAGUGAGAACCAAUCAGAAUUGGAUUUUUUCUAGGCAACUUUCAGCUCGACCAAAAUUGAGAUGCCGUAACUCUGGGUAUAAAGGGACACUAAACGAUUCCGUACGUACAAUUAAAGGGAGAAACAGUCAUCACUCUUUUUCCGGCUGUUGACCUAUCUGCAUGACAGCUUCAGGUGACGUCAUGAGCCAAACAAGUUUCCCAAACCUCGGCCAUUUUCGGCUUGUUUGCAAAAAAAAAACUGCCAACACGUUGUUAAACAUCAACCAUGUAGGUAAAUCGACUGUAGAAUGCUGAAGUCCCGAAAAUAAAAGCUUCCACCAUUGCCAAGAUACUAGUGGAGGGUCUCUUGUCUCUGGGGCAGGGGCUGGGGCUGGGUGCUGGUUAAAAUUUCCAUUUCUUCGGUUACUUUGGUUGAUUUCCUUCGGUCAGAAGAAGCAGAACAAUCUGGUUGAUCAACCAAAAUCUUGGGUUGCACUCCGAGACAUCUGAGUGUCCUACUCACAUAAUGUACCUACCCAUGUUUUCCUCAAAAAUAUUAAUCAAACAAUUCAAGGAAGCUUUCAAAAAUUACGUUAACUAAAAUCCAAAGGAAAAUAAAGGAAGGAAUAAAUUCCAAACGGAAAAUACGUGGUUUCGCACUUUAGCCAUGAAUAUUUUAUUUGUUCUGAUGUGCAUAUUUUUUUCUUAAGCACAAGAGUACAUUAUUAAAGAUUCAUUUAAUUGUUUUUAUUUCUUUCCCUCUUGUUGGCUUGUACAUGAUUCCCAUUCGAUCUUGUCUACGGCAGAUAUUAGAAUUGUUUUAAUUAGGUGUUAUAAAACUUACGUAGAUUAUACCUAGAAGCCUCAAUAUUAGUAUUAAAAAUGAAUAAAAGAAAUUGGGGAAAGUAUCAAUCUUAAAGAGUUCCAUAAACCUGCAGUCAUCAUCUGCCUAUCCGUUUCAUUGGCUCUCUUACGCUAUCAGAAAGUGUGAUAAAUCAAAUUUAAGGCAGCCAAACAGUACAUAUAUUCCCUUCUAGAUGGCGACGGUGUAUAAUACUGCUAAAAGUUAUGAAUAAAACCAGUA